rnacentral:rRNA from 1 species
CCCUUAGACGUUCUGGGCCGCACGCGCGCUGCACUGACGAAGGCAACGAGCUUUCCUUUACCGAAAGGUACGGGUAAUCUUUUGAAACUUCGUCGUGCUGGGGAUAGAUCCUUGCAAUUUUUGAUCUUAAACGAGGAAUGCCUAGUAAGCGCAAGUCAUCAACUUGCGUUGAUUACGUCCCUGCCCUUUGUACACACCGCCCGUCGCUACUACCGAUUGAAUGGUUUAGUGAGGCCUUCGGAUCCGCGACUCGUUUGUGGAGAAGUUGGACAAACUCAGUCAUUUAGAGGAAGUAAAAGUCGUAACA